UCUGUUGAACGAUACCAGUUGCUUAGCUGGUGGCGGUGAAAAUCGCAGUACCGGCGGCACAAAACUCUUUUAAUGUCAUCUCUGAGUUACUUUUAAAUAAGUCAAAACUUUCAACAACGGAUCUCUUGGUUCUGGCAUCGAUGAAGAACGCAGCGAAAUGCGAUAAGUAAUGUGAAUUGCAGAAUUCAGUGAAUCAUCGAAUCUUUGAACGCACAUUGCGCCCGCUAGUAUUCUGGCGGGCAUGCCUGUUCGAGCGUCAUUUCAACCAUCAAGCUUCAGGCUUAUGUUGGGGCCCUGCGGCUGCCGCAGGCCCCUAAAAGCAGUGGCGGACUCGCUGUCAUACCGAGCGCAGUAACACAUCUCGCUCAGGGCGUGGCGGCGGGCACCGGCCGUAAAACUCUUACACCUAAGGUUGACCUCGGAUCAGGUAGGAAUACCCGCUGAACUUAAGCAUAUCAAUAAGCGGAGGA
rnacentral:rRNA from 1 species